AGGGCAAGUCUGGUGCCAGCAGCCGCGGUAAUUCCAGCUCCAAUAGCGUAUAUUAAAGUUGUUGCGGUUAAAAAGCUCGUAGUUGGAUCUGCGGUCAUUGACACAGGUUUCCUACUCGGAAUACUUGUUGUCAUGACCUACCUUGCUGGUUGUCCCUUGGUGCUCUUUACUGAGUGCCCUGGGUGGCUAGCACGUUUACUUUGAAAAAAUUAGAGUGCUCAACGCAGGCUUUUGCCUGAAUAGUGGUGCAUGGAAUAAUGGAAUAGGACCUCGGUUCUAUUUUGUUGGUUUUCGGAACUGAGGCCAUGAUUAAGAGGGACGGCCGGGGGCAUUCGUAUUGCGCCGCUAGAGGUGAAAUUCUUGGAUCGCAGCAUGACGAACAACUGCGAAAGCAUUUGCCAAGAAUGUUUUCAUUAAUCAAGAACGAUAGUUAGAGGUUCGAAGGCGAUCAGAUACCGCCCUAGUUCUAACCGUAAACGAUGCCAACUAGCAAUCCGCUGGCGUUAAUUCUGACUCAGCGGGCGGCUGCCCGGAAACGAUAAGUUUUUCGGUUCCGGGGGAAGUAUGGUUGCAAAGCUGAAA
rnacentral:rRNA from 1 species